UACGUAGGGUGCAAGCGUUAAUCGGAAUUACUGGGCGUAAAGCGUGCGCAGGCGGCUUUGCAAGACAGAUGUGAAAUCCCCGGGCUUAACCUGGGAACUGCAUUUGUGACUGCAUGGCUGGAGUGCGGCAGAGGGGGAUGGAAUUCCGGCGUGUAGCAGUGAAAUGCGUAGAGUAUGCGGAGGAACACCGAUGGCGAAGGCAAUCCCCUGGGCCUGCACUGACGCUCAUGCACGAAAGCAUGGGGAUCAAACAGG
rnacentral:rRNA from 1 species